UAGGGAAUCUUCCGCAAUGGGCGAAAGCCUGACGGAGCAACGCCGCGCGAGUGAUGAAGGUCUUCGGAUCGUAAAACUCUGUUAUUAGGGAAGAAUAAAUGUGUAAGUAACUAUGCACGUCUUGACGGUACCUAAUCAGAAAGCCACGGCUAACUACGUGCCAGCAGCCGCGGUAAUACGUAGGUGGCAAGCGUUAUCCGGAAUUAUUGGGCGUAAAGCGCGCGUAGGCGGUCAAUUAAGUCUGAUGUGAAAGCCCCCGGCUCAACCGGGGAGGGUCAUUGGAAACUGGUUGACUUGAGUGCAGAAGAGGGGAGUGGAAGUCCAUGUGUAGCGGUGAAAUGCAUAGAUAUAUGGAGGAACACCAGUGGCGAAGGCGACUCUCUGGUCUGUAACUGACGCUGAGGCUCGAAAGCGUGGGUAGCAAACAGG
rnacentral:rRNA from 1 species